AAUAGAUACCCCGGUAGUCCACGCCGUAAACGAUGAGUGCUAAGUGUUAGAGGGUUUCCGCCCUUUAGUGCUGCAGCUAACGCAUUAAGCACUCCGCCUGGGGAGUACGGUCGCAAGACUGAAACUCAAAGGAAUUGACGGGGGCCCGCACAAGCGGUGGAGCAUGUGGUUUAAUUCGAAGCAACGCGAAGAACCUUACCAGGUCUUGACAUCCUCUGACACUCCUAGAGAUAGGACUUUCCCCCUUCGGGGGGACAGAGUGACAGGUGGUGCAUGGUUGUCGUCAGCUCGUGUCGUGAGAUGUUGGGUUAAGUCCCGCAACGAGCGCAACCCUUGAUCUUAGUUGCCAGCAUUCAGUUGGGCACUCUAAGGUGACUGCCGGUGACAAACCGGAGGAAGGUGGGGAUGACGUCAAAUCAUCAUGCCCCUUAUGACCUGGGCUACACACGUGCUACAAUGGAUGGUACAAAGGGCUGCAAGACCGCGAGGUCAAGCCAAUCCCAUAAAACCGAUUCUCAGUUCGGAUUGUAGG
rnacentral:rRNA from 1 species